GGAGGUUUAGCUCAGUGGUAGAGUGCUUGCCUAGCAACCGCAAGGCCCUGGGUUCGGUCCCCAGCUCCG
rnacentral:tRNA from 1 species